rnacentral:rRNA from 1 species
AAGUCGUAACAAGGUCUCCGUAGGUGAACCUGCGGAGGGAUCAUUACAAGAACGCCCGGGCUUCGGCCUGGUUAUUCAUAACCCUUUGUUGUCCGACUCUGUUGCCUCCGGGGCGACCCUGCCUUCGGGCGGGGGCUCCGGGUGGACACUUCAAACUCUUGCGUAACUUUGCAGUCUGAGUAAACUUAAUUAAUAAAUUAAAACUUUUAACAACGGAUCUCUUGGUUCUGGCAUCGAUGAAGAACGCAGCGAAAUGCGAUAAGUAAUGUGAAUUGCAGAAUUCAGUGAAUCAUCGAAUCUUUGAACGCACAUUGCGCCCCCUGGUAUUCCGGGGGGCAUGCCUGUUCGAGCGUCAUUUCACCACUCAAGCCUCGCUUGGGAUUGGGCAACGCGGUCCGCCGCGUGCCUCAAAUCGUCCGGCUGGGUCUUCUGUCCCCUAAGCGUUGUGGAAACUAUUCGCUAAAGGGUGUUCGGGAGGCUACGCCGUAAAACAACCCCAUUUCUAAGGUUGACCUCGGAUCAGGUAGGGAUACCCGCUGAACUUAA